rnacentral:rRNA from 1 species
UGGGGAAUAUUGGACAAUGGGGGCAACCCUGAUCCAGCCAUGCCGCGUGUGUGAAGAAGGCCUUUUGGUUGUAAAGCACUUUAAGCAGUGAAGAAGACUCCAUGGUUAAUACCCAUGGACGAUGACAUUAGCUGCAGAAUAAGCACCGGCUAACUCUGUGCCAGCAGCCGCGGUAAUACAGAGGGUGCAAGCGUUAAUCGGAAUUACUGGGCGUAAAGCGAGCGUAGGUGGCUUGAUAAGUAAGAUGUGAAAGCCCCGGGCUUAACCUGGGAACGGCAUCUGAUACUGUUAGGCUAGAGUAGGUGAGAGGAAGGUAGAAUUCCAGGUGUAGCGGUGAAAUGCGUAGAGAUCUGGAGGAAUACCGAUGGCGAAGGCAGCCUUCUGGCAUCAUACUGACACUGAGGUUCGAAAGCGUGGGUAGCAAACA